rnacentral:rRNA from 1 species
UACAUAGGGUGCGAGCGUUAUUCGGAUUUACUGGGCGUAAAGCGCGCGUAGGCGGCUUUGCAAGUCGAUUGUGAAAUCCCCAGGCUUAACCUGGGAACUGCAUUCGAGACUGCAUAGCUAGAGUAUGGGAGAGGGAAGUGGAAUUUCAGGUGUAGCGGUGAAAUGCGUAGAUAUCUGAAGGAACAUCAGUGGCGAAAGCGACUUCCUGGACCAAUACUGACGCUCAUGUGCGAAAGCGUGGGGAGCAAACAGG